UACGAAGGGGGCUAGCGUUGUUCGGAAUUACUGGGCGUAAAGCGCGCGCAGGCGGUCCUUUUAAGUCAGGGGUGAAAGCCCAGAGCUCAACUCUGGAACGGCCUUUGAAACUAGAGGACUUGGGUACGGGAGAGGUGAGUGGAAUUCCGAGUGUAGAGGUGAAAUUCGUAGAUAUCGGGAGGAACACCAGUGGCGAAGGCGGCGACCUGGACGGACACUGACGCUGAGACGCGAAAGCGUGGGGAGCAAACAGG
rnacentral:rRNA from 1 species